UUCAGAAUAGCUCAGUCAGUAGAGCAUGAGACUUUUAACCUCAGGUUUGUGGGUUCGAGCCUCAUAUUCGGCAAAA